UACGUAGGGGGCAAGCGUUGUCCGGAAUUAUUGGGCGUAAAGCGCGCGCAGGCGGUCUCUUAAGUCUGAUGUGAAAGCCCACGGCUCAACCGUGGAGGGUCAUUGGAAACUGGGAGACUUGAGUGUAAGAGAGGAAAGUGGAGUUCCAUGUGUAGCGGUGAAAUGCGUAGAUAUAUGGAGGAACACCAGUGGCGAAGGCGACUUUCUGGCUUACAACUGACGCUGAGGCGCGAAAGCGUGGGGAGCAAACAGG
rnacentral:rRNA from 1 species